rnacentral:rRNA from 1 species
GGUGAGUAACACGUGGGUGAUCUGCCUCGUACUCUGGGAUAAGCCUGGGAAACUGGGUCUAAUACUGGAUAGGACCGCACUUUAGUGUGUGUGGUGGAAAGUUUUUUCGGUACGAGAUGAGCCCGCGGCCUAUCAGCUUGUUGGUGGGGUAAUGGCCUACCAAGGCGUCGACGGGUAGCCGGCCUGAGAGGGUGGACGGCCACAUUGGGACUGAGAUACGGCCCAGACUCCUACGGGAGGCAGCAGUGGGGAAUAUUGCACAAUGGGCGCAAGCCUGAUGCAGCGACGCCGCGUGAGGGAUGACGGCCUUCGGGUUGUAAACCUCUUUCGACAGGGACGAAGCUUUUUGUGACGGUACCUGUAUAAGAAGCACCGGCUAACUACGUGCCAGCAGCCGCGGUAAUACGUAGGGUGCGAGCGUUGUCCGGAAUUACUGGGCGUAAAGAGCUCGUAGGUGGUUUGUCGCGUCGUCUGUGAAAUUCCGGGGCUUAACUCCGGGCGUGCAGGCGAUACGGGCAUAACUUGAGUGCUGUAGGGGAGACUGGAAUUCCUGGUGUAGCGGUGGAAUGCGCAGAUAUCAGGAGGAACACCGAUGGCGAAGGCAGGUCUCUGGGCAGUAACUGACGCUGAGGAGCGAAAGCAUGGGGAGCGAACAGGAUUAGAUACCCUGGUAGUCCAUGCCGUAAACGGUGGGCGCUAGGUGUGAGGGUCUUCCACGACUUUCGUGCCGUAGCUAACGCAUUAAGCGCCCCGCCUGGGGAGUACGGCCG